GUUUCAGAUGAUUGCACACUGAGGAUGAAUCUUCUCCAGUGAGAUACUAAUGCAAGAUGUUUUGGAGUCUCAUGCUUGGAGACAUUCAAAAUACACUGCAGAAAACCCUGACCAAUGGUCUUGCUUGACCCUUCUUGGAGCAGGGAUUCAAACUGGAAAAACCUCUGGAAAUCCCUCCCAGCCUCAGCCAUUCUGUGACCCUGUGGAGUCAGCAGAUUGUUUUGUGUAAAACCACAGUACCAAAGCACUCCUGUGGAGUUGGGAGACAUUUGGUGAAGUCAUUGCUGAUGCUCUUUCAGUUUUUAAGAGGUUCAGACUAACACCUCCCUUCUUUUAG